UCCCGGUUGGCCCGGGCAGUCUCGCAUGAAAAAUACAACAUACGAUAAGGGUUGCGCUCGUUGCGGGACUUAACCCAACAUUUCACAACACGAGCUGACGACGGCCAUGCAGCACCUGUCACUGAGCUCCCGAAGGCACUCCUCUAUUUCUAGAAGAUUCUCAGGAUGUCAAGCCUUGGUAAGGUUCUACGCGUACCGUCAUAUUAAACCACAUCAUCCUCCGCUUGUGCGGGUCCCCGUCAAUUCCUUUGAGUUUUAGCCUUGCGGCCGUACUUCCCAGGCGGCAUACUUAUCGCGUUAGCUUCGUCUCACAGGGGGUCGAUACCCCAUAAGACUAGUAUGCAUCGUUUACGGCGUGGACUAC
rnacentral:misc_RNA from 1 species